rnacentral:rRNA from 1 species
CCUUUGCCGGCGACCGGCGCACGGGUGAGUAACACGUAUGCAACCUGCCCUCUUCGGGGGACAACCUUCCGAAAGGGAGGCUAAUCCCGCGUAUAUCGGUUUCGGGCAUCCGAGAUCGAGGAAAGAUUCAUCGGAAGAGGAUGGGCAUGCGGCGCAUUAGCUAGACGGCGGGGUAACGGCCCACCGUGGCGACGAUGCGUAGGGGUUCUGAGAGGAAGGUCCCCCACACUGGUACUGAGACACGGACCAGACUCCUACGGAAGGCAGCAG